rnacentral:lncRNA from 1 species
UCUCUAUCUUUUUUCUUGAGCUUUAAAAUUCGUGUGGCCCUUUUUGGACCAUUUAAGUUGACUAUUGCUUGUGGGCUAGUCAAAUGGAUUGAGCCUAGUCUUAGUUUGGCCUAUUGUGGUGGGAUGCCAUAGUCUUAGCUUUAGAGCUUUUGCUAAAGAUUAGGUGUUUCUAUUAUUCAGUUUUUAAGUCCUACUUUGGGUUAGGUG